AUGAGCUGUUGUACUUGUAUGUUAUAUUAUACUGUAUGUUAUAUUAUACUGUAUAUUAUAUUAUACUGUAUAUUAUAUGCUGCUUUACAAGUAACACUGAAUCCUCCAUGUUUUACAGGUGACCUGAUGAAGCUCAGGUGUUCCUGGACCCAUCAGAGGACAGAGACAGCUGCAGCAUCAGGACAGUCUGGGUAUCCAAAGGAAGACUGAUGAAGAUGAACACUGACUGCAGAGCACCGUUACCAGCUCACACUUCAGUAUACUAGAAACCAUAAACCUUGAUGGAGGACAUGAUCUGCACAGUUUACAUUGAAGUUAUAGCUUUGUUACUAGCAUACACACAAUUCAUAUUUAUGUGUAACUGGAAUACGAAUGAAACAUUAAUAAAGUUUUAUUUUUAAGAAGAGUUUUGGUCAUUUUUAAAUUCAGUAAUAAGUGUGGUUUUAUAUAAAUAACAUGUUAUUUCAGAGGUUUUAUGAAGAUUUCCUGGAUGUACAAGAGUUGAAAACCUGAUUCGUGUUACAUCUAUCAAUAUGAAAUUGUGGAACUUAAACCUGUAUUAAUGACUGUAAGCAACACAAUACAUUACUGUCUCACAUUCAAACUUUAUUACAUUGGAAGAUAAAUGACAUCAUAAUACAGUAUAUAAUAUAAAUGAUAGAAUAUUCAGUAUACAGUAUUUUUAAUGGGGUUCAAACAUAAUUGCAGCUUUUACACAUAUCUGAAGGUUAACUUUGGUAAUAAUACUUUUAAGUUAAAAUAUCAGACUAUGAAAUAUGGAUACAGUACAGUUAACAGUUGGUUACUUAGCAGUUUUUAAACCACAUGAACAAGUUACUUUAUUAGAUGAGUGAUUCCUUCAGUUAUGUUGACAUGUUGUACAGGAUAAAGUAUUGCAGGUUUCUGUUUCCAUGGUCUCAGUAAACUAAUGUGUAUAAAGAAUAUAACAGAUGGGAGGUUACAGUAAUCAUCAUACUAUUACUCUGAUUACUUUGGUACAUUUACUGGGUAUUUCUUCACUAGAAACAACUGCUUGACUAAUGUUGUUAAUAUUAUGUAAUAUAUAAUAUGUUUAACUUCACUGGGCUGUGUAGACUGUAGGUCACUGCUCACUGCUGUACCUGUAAAGACAAGCAUAAAACACAGUGUUGGUUCUCAUAGUUAAGGUAUAAACACUAACAUUAUGUGAUAGAUAGAGGUUAAUAUAUAUAUAUAUAUAUUUUAGUUAUAUGUAUGUAUAUGUAGUUAAUAUAGCAGUAUUUACCUGAGGAAAACGUCACAGAAAGCUGUAAUACUGAUUGUUGAUGUUGUUCAUUUCUCUGUGAUUUCAGGUCAGACUCCCGCUCUAACAUGUCCGCUGGUGAAGUUUUUGCUUUAGAAGCAGUUAUUGAAUUAAUAUUGACGGUAGAAAUGAAGCUAAUCUCAGUAGCAGUUAGGGGAGCUACCUGCCGGCAACGAAGGGGAGGGGCCGGAGUGUCAUCCGCGUGAGCCGCGUCAUCCGCAUGAGCCGCGUCAUAAUGCUGACCAAUCAGAGCAGACUGGGCUUUUCGGGAGGGGGGUCUUAAAGAGACAGGCGCUAAAACCUAGCGAUUCAGACAGAGGCUGAAAAGAGGUGCUCAGCUGUAGGCAGUAUGAGUAAAAUAAUGUGUUUUUUGAACAUUAAAACAUCUAAACCUAUUGUAGGAGAGCCACAAAAUACAAUUAUGAACCUGAAAAAGGGCAUAAUAUGUCUCCUUUAAACUCACAGACAAGUUAACGAUGUCACUCCUGUGUUAUAUGUGUAGAUAUGUGUAUAUUGUCUGUAUGUGUACUAUGUGUAGUUUGUGUGUAGAACUCAUGCUGAAGGGGCUCUUUGUACAGACUGUGAAAACAAAUUUCUUCCACUGAGGACAAUAAAGAAUGAAUCUGAAUCUGAAUCUAGUUCUAAUUGUUUUAAAAUUAACUAAUGUAAUUUUUCAUCAAUUCUAUUUUAGUUUUGUGUACCACUAGAGGCAGUGCAGGUACCAUAGUUUCCAGUUGUCUUGUCGUGACGUGCUACGGUAAGCGUACAGACUCAUUUCCGGUUUACUUCCUGCUCUGUGUACACUGUUUGGUGCUGUAGCUCUGUCAGUGAACGCUAAAUCUAAAUUAGUUUUACUCGUUACAGCGGUUAUUUUCCCGCUUAGCAUUUAAACGUAGACUAGUUCUACCUAAACACUCGGAGUUACUCCUUCUUUUAGUGACUUUUCGCUAUUUUCAAAGUUUUUCAUACACGCUAGUUUC
rnacentral:lncRNA from 1 species